AACUUUUGGCAACGGAUCACUUGGUUCUGGCAUCGAUGAAGAACGCAGCGAGAUGCGAUAAGUAAUGUGAAUUGCAGAAUUCAGUGAAUCAUCGAAUCUCUGAACGCACAUUGCGCCCGCCAGUAUUCUGGCGGGCAUGCCUGUUCGAGCGUCAUGUCAAGCCUCAAGCCCCCGGGCUUGGUGUUCGAGAUCGCCGUGCCCCCCGCGUCGCGCCGGCUCCCAAAUAUAGUGGCGGUCUCGCUGUGGCUUCCUCUGCGUAGUACCACCCCUCGUACUGGAAAACAGCGUAGCCACGACGUAAAACCCCCAACUGCUGAACGGUUGACCCAGCAUCAGGGAGGAAGCCACGCGGACCAUAAGCAUAUCAAUAAGCGGAGGGU
rnacentral:misc_RNA from 1 species